rfam:Pseudonocardia thermophila strain DSM 43832 genome assembly, contig: Ga0131094_123
GCCGGUCCUCGGUAGUGGUUCCCGGGCCCGAAGCCGGUUCCCGGGGACUUCGAUCGAUGACCGGC